rnacentral:rRNA from 1 species
GAUCAUGGCUCAGGACGAACGCUGGCGGCGUGCUUAACACAUGCAAGUCGAACGCGCCUGUCCUCUGGGUUUCUGGGGGGUGGGUGAAUGGCGAACGGGUGAGUAACACGUGAGUAACCUGCCCCCUUCUUCGGGAUAACGGUCUGAAAGGGCUGCUAAUACCGGGUAUUCACUGGUCUCCGCAUGGGGUCUGGUGGAAAGGGUUUUUUCUGGUGGGGGAUGGGCUCGCGGCCUAUCAGCUUGUUGGUGGGGUGAUGG